GAAAUAACUGACUUUUAUUAUUCAACACCUGAAAUAAUUCACUUGCAACUGCUGCAGAUCUUGACUUCUCAAAUCUCAAAAUUGAUUAUACACUACAGGAAUCAGGGAAGAUGUCAGUGAGAAUUCAGCAGUGUGGCAUACAAGCAACUCAGCAUCAUCUUGAAUUCCUCACUGUUGGCAAUAAGAGCAAAAUACCAUAAGGGAGAUGCUAACUACACACAUUUUUUUGGUUCUUUUUUCUUUGUCAGCCUUUCCCUCUGACAUUCAGCUAUAAUAUGAUUCUAGAAUAAUGAGGUGGAUUAAAAGGAGAUGAUUUUUUUGUCA